AAAACAGCUAUGGUAAGCGGGCAGCAGUUUUUCAGAUUCAGACAAGUGCAGUGAGCAACGUUAGGUCACCCUGUUCUGUUUCUGAUUUCUUUGACAUCGCUUCGCGUACUCGGUGGCGUGUUUGUGCGAAUUGCGCUUCGGGUAUUUGAAUUUUGGACCAAUCGACAAAGAAGAUGAUUGGGAUUGCAUUUGAGAAACAUGGACUGUACCACCUAUCUCAAGCUACUUCAAAAGCUGCUACCUGCAACCAAUUUAAGUUUCAUUCUUCCUCCUUGGUCUCAGUUAUUACUUAAAUCAAUUAGAUACUUGGCAUUACAGAUUAGGCCAUGUUUCUAACUCAAGAUUACCUUUUCUUAGACAGCUAGAGUCAUCUGUAUGUUGCAGUUCUACAAAUGUUUGUGAUGUAUGUCAGUUAGCAAAGCAAAGAAGGAUUUCAUUUCCUGUAUCUCAAACCAGUUCAAAUAAAAAGUUUGACUUGAUCCAUUGUGAU